GAUGAACGCUAGCGGCAGGCCUAAUACAUGCAGGACGAACGGCAAGAAUGAUAGCAAUAUUGUUCCUAGAGUGUCGUAAGAGUGCGUAACACGUAUGCAAUCUGCCCUCAACAGGAGGAUAGCUCCCCGAAAGGGGAAUUAACACUCCAUAAGAUCACAUAAUGGCACCAUUGAGUGAUUAAAAAUACGGUGGUUGAGGAUGAGCAUGCGCAUGAUUAGUUAGUUGGCGGGGUAAUGGCCCACCAAGACGAUGAUCAUUAGGGGAACUGAGAGGUUGAUCCCCCACACUGGCACUGAGAUACGGGCCAGACUCCUACGGGAGGCAGCAGUAGGGAAUAUUGGACAAUGGGUGCGAGCCUGAUCCAGCCAUGCCGCGUGCAGGAAGACGGCCUUCUGGGUUGUAAACUGCUUUUGCCAGGGGAUAAAACGUCCAUGCGUGGAUAAUUGAAGGUCCCUGGUGAAUAAGCCACGGCUAACUACGUGCCAGCAGCCGCGGUAAGAC
rnacentral:rRNA from 1 species